GCAGGACUUCCGCCGUGUUCCGGAGUUGUGAGUCCGCCUCUCUAGCUCCAGAUCUUGUUUUGAUUGCUUUGGAAACCUCACCUUAGCAAACAGCGAUAAUGCCUAGAAAUUCCGGCGUUGCCAGAGAAGGGCGGCUGUCAUUCCCCCAGGACACUUCGGGGACCUAUAGCUGAAGCCUCGAGGCAGUCUCCGGCCUCAGUAGACGGAGGAAGGCUAGGUGAAAGGGGAACAUGGAGAAGUCAUGACAUCAUCCAUGCUGCAGUGAAACAUUCUGGUGGUGCAGAGGCUUUGGAGUAUCCCACACUUCUACAAGCAACCCUUCACCUGUGUUUUGAAGACAAGCUGAAUAAACUUAGAGGUACCCUAAGUCAUAUUUGGGGAAUUCUGCUUUGAUUUACUGUUGAUGCUUUAUAAAGAGGCUGGGUGUUUGUUUAUAUCUUCCCAGGGAAAGAAUUCUAGAAACAAUAAACACACAUAAAAAUGUGAUAUAACAAGACUGUAAUUUGUAUUUCUGUUUCUUUCUGUGAUCAUUUUUACUACCAUCUGGAAAGGGGUAAGAAGUUUUUAAAAUCGUAAUAACAGCUAAUAAUGUGAAUUAGUACCAUACUGUUUGCUAAAAUGGUGUAUUCAUGAACACAAAUCUUUAACUUGGUUCUGUUUAUCAUAGCUUCCUCUUAGAAUUUCUCUGGUUCAAAGAUUUAUUUCUAAAUACAGUUCUCAAUUAAAUAAACUUUUUAUCAAACAAA